rnacentral:rRNA from 1 species
UAACCUGCCCAAGAGAUCGGGAUAACACCUGGAAACAGAUGCUAAUACCGGAUAACAACAGAUGAUGCCUAUCAACUGUUUAAAAGAUGGUUCUGCUAUCACUCUUGGAUGGACCUGCGGUGCAUUANCUAGUUGGUAGGGUAACGGCCUACCAAGGCGAUGAUGCAUAGCCGAGUUGAGAGACUGAUCGGCCACAUUGGGACUGAGACACGGCCCAAACUCCUACGGGAGGCAGCAGCG